rnacentral:rRNA from 1 species
GACGAACGCUGGCGGCGUGCUUAACACAUGCAAGUCGAACGGAAAGGCCCUGCUUUUGUGGGGUGCUAGCGUGGCGAACGGGUGAGUAACACGUGAGUCACCUGCCCUUGACUUUGGGAUAACUUCAGGAAACUGGGGCUAAUACCGGAUAGGAGCUCCUGCUGCAUGGUGGGGGUUGGAAAGUUUCGGCGGUUGGGGAUGGACUCGCGGCUUAUCAGCUUGUUGGUGGGGUAGUGGCUUACCAAGGCUUCGACGGGUAGCCGGCCUGAGAGGGUGACCGGCCACAUUGGGACUGAGAUACGGCCCAGACUCCUACGGGAGGCAGCAGUGGGGAAUAUUGCACAAUGGGCGGAAGCCUGAUGCAGCAACGCCGCGUGCGGGAUGACGGCCUUCGGGUUGUAAACCGCUUUCGCCUGUGACGAAGCGUGAGUGACGGUAAUGGGUAAAGAAGCACCGGCUAACUACGUG